rnacentral:tRNA from 1 species
GGGUCGAUGCCCAAGCGGUUAAUGGGGAGGGACUAUAAAUUCGUUGGCAAUAUGUCUAUGGUGGUUGAAAUCCAGCUCGGCCCA